rnacentral:rRNA from 1 species
CUAAUACCGCAUACGAUCUACGGAUGAAAGUGGGGGACCUUCGGGCCUCAUGCUUUUGGAGCGGCCGAUAUCUGAUUAGCUAGUUGGUGGGGUAAAGGCUCACCAAGGCAACGAUCAGUAGCUGGUCUGAGAGGACGACCAGCCACACUGGAACUGAGACACGGUCCAGACUCCUACGGGAGGCAGCAGUGGGGAAUUUUGGACAAUGGGCGCAAGCCUGAUCCAGCAAUGCCGCGUGAGUGAAGAAGGCCUUCGGGUUGUAAAGCUCUUUUGUCAGGGAAGAAACGGUUCAGGCUAAUAUCCUGGGCUAAUGACGGUACCUGAAGAAUAAGCACCGGCUAACUACGUGCCAGCAGCCGCGGUAAUACGUAGGGUGCAAGCGUUAAUCGGAAUUACUGGGCGUAAAGCGUGCGCAGGCGGUUUUGUAAGUCUGAUGUGAAAGCCCCGGGCUCAACCUGGGAAUUGCAUUGGAGACUGCAAGGCUUGAAUCUGGCAGAGGGGGGUAGAAUUCCACGUGUAGCAGUGAAAUGCGUAGAGAUGUGGAGGAACACCGAUGGCGAAGGCAGCCCCCUGGGUCAAGAUUGACGCUCAUGCACGAAAGCGUGGGGAGCAAACAGGAUUAGAUACCCUGGUAGUCCACGCCCUAAACGAUGUCUACUAGUUGUCGGGUUUUAAUUAACUUGGUAACGCAGCUAACGCGUGAAGUAGACCGCCUGGGGAGUACGGUCGCAAGAUUAAAACUCAAAGGAAUUGACGGGGACCCGCACAAGCGGUGGAUGAUGUGGAUUAAUUCGAUGCAACGCGAAAAACCUUACCUACCCUUGACAUGGAAGGAAUCC